rnacentral:rRNA from 1 species
GUGGGGAAUAUUGCACAAUGGGGGAAACCCUGAUGCAGCGACGCCGCGUGAAGGAAGAAGUAUUUCGGUAUGUAAACUUCUAUCAGCAGGGAAGAAGAAAGUGACGGUACCUGACUAAGAAGCCCCGGCUAACUACGUGCCAGCAGCCGCGGUAAUACGUAGGGGGCAAGCGUUAUCCGGAUUUACUGGGUGUAAAGGGAGCGUAGGCGGCUGAGCAAGUCAGAAGUGAAAGCCCGCGGCUUAACUGCGGGACUGCUUUUGAAACUGCCCAGCUUGAUUGCCGGAGAGGUAAGUGGAAUUCCUAGUGUAGCGGUGAAAUGCGUAGAUAUUAGGAGGAACACCAGUGGCGAAGGCGGCUUACUGGACGGUCAAUGACGCUGAGGCUCGAAAGCGUGGGGAGCAAACAGGA